CCUAAUGAAGCUGCCUGCCAUCUCUUCGUUUACUUGCUUCCUUGAAGAACACUGAUAAUGUAGAAAUAAACUGUUUCCAGUCCCCUGGACACCCGCAGUAUUCAGAAGAGUAGCUGAAGGUGCUGCAAAGUUAUUCAUCUCAGAGGGAUGCUGACCCAGCACUUCUCCUUCCUGCUGCCAUGUGAAGAAGGACGUGAAACAUGUCACUGCCAUGAUUGGCCAUGGAAGGAGUCUAUUCAAGUGAUGGUCCCUGAAGCUUAUGUUUUUUUAACUUUCUAGCAAUUCUACCACAAGUAAAAAACAGACUACUUCAUACAGCUCCAGAGCCUAGAGAAGUGCCUGGGUCAGAGCAGAGUCCCAGGAAGCAUUUGUGGAUGGAAUACAAGAACAAAUGAACAAAUGAAUUGCAGCCUGGCUGCCAACAGAAACGCUUCGGGAUUUGACCUGCUUCUUCCCCCUUCAGACAAUGUGGUUUGACUUUUCUUUUAUUAUGUUUGUUGAAAGCAAAAGUAAAUUCUAUUAAUCCAUUAUAAAAACAACAGGAGGUUUAUUAUUUCCAUGAGAAUCUCAUAGUUAUACAGAUCCAGGUAAGGCUUCAUCUAAGACAAGGAAUUGUCGGCCGGGCGCAG
rnacentral:lncRNA from 10 species